rnacentral:rRNA from 1 species
AUGGCUACAUCAAGAGCUGGAUGGAGAAGCUCAAGGCCGUCGCCUACGAGGACGUUCCAGUACGAAGCGCUGCGGCGCAAAGCCCAGAUCGGCGACUCCACCUCCCGCAAGGUACUCGGCUACGUCACGCACCACAGCCCACUGCUCUUCCGUUUUGCCAUGAGCAGGAAGCUCAAGGGAGUUCUCAAUAAGAUCAAGGAGUUAGUGGAGGAGAUGAACACGUUUGGCCUCGAGAAUUCCGUGAAUCGGAUGGAGCAGCAACAUACUUGGCGGCAGACGCACUCCAAAUUGGAUGAGUCCACCGAGCUGUUUGGAAGAGAUGAUGACAAGAAGGGAGUGGUGAAAUUGCUGCUAGACCAGCAAAAUCAGCGGAGGGUGCAGGUGCUGCCCAUCUUUGGUAUGGGCGGUCUUGGCAAGACGACACGUGCUAAGAUGGUGUACAACGACCGAGAGGUCCAGCAUCAUUUCCAGUUGAAGAUCUGGCACUGCGUGGCAGAUAAUUUUGAUGUUAUUGCUAUUCUGAAAUCCAUCAUUGAAUUGGCUAUAGAUGAUUUGCCAGAAAACGAAAAGGCAUUGGCUAGAAAGGGAGGUUGGUGCAUGUCUGGCAACAUUGAAUUAUUGCAGAAGAAACUUGAGGAAGUCAUUGGCCGGAAAAGAUUUUUACUUGUUCUCGAUGAUGUAUGGAAUGAAGAAAAAAGGACGUGGGAUGAUGAAUUGAAGCCACUAUUGUGUUCUGUUGGUGGACCAGGAAGGAGUCAAUUGCAGAAAACUACCACAUUUGCGGCAAGGUUUGCAGAAAACUACCAAGUCGGUAAUUCGUUGCAAAAAACACUGUGA